AGAGUUUGAUUCUGGCUCAGGAUGAACGCUGGCGGCGUGCCUAACACAUGCAAGUCGAGCGAAGCGCGCCCCGGAAUCCUUCGGGAGGAAGGGUCGCGACUGAGCGGCGGACGGGUGAGUAACGCGUGGGCAACCUGCCCCAUACAGGGGGACAACGGCCGGAAACGGCCGCUAAUACCGCAUGAUUCCUCUUGGCCGCAUGGCCGGGAGGGGAAAGCCGAGACGGUAUGGGAUGGACCCGCGUCUGAUUAGCUGGUUGGCGAGGUAACGGCUCACCAAGGCGACGAUCAGUAGCCGGCCUGAGAGGGCGACCGGCCACAUUGGGACUGAGACACGGCCCAAACUCCUACGGGAGGCAGCAGUGGGGAAUAUUGCACAAUGGGGGAAACCCUGAUGCAGCGACGCCGCGUGAAGGACGAAGUAUUUCGAUACGUAAACUUCUAUCAGCAGGGAAGAAAAUGACGGUACCUGACCAAGAAGCCCCGGCUAACUACGUGCCAGCAGCCGCGGUAAUACGUAGGGGGCAAGCGUUAUCCGGAUUUACUGGGUGUAAAGGGAGCGUAGACGGCCAUGCAAGUCUGAUGUGAAAACCCGGGGCUCAACCCCGGGACUGCAUUGGAAACUGUGCGGCUGGAGUGUCGGAGAGGCAAGUGGAAUUCCUAGUGUAGCGGUGAAAUGCGUAGAUAUUAGGAGGAACACCAGUGGCGAAGGCGGCUUGCUGGACGACGACUGACGUUGAGGCUCGAAAGCGUGGGGAGCAAACAGGAUUAGAUACCCUGGUAGUCCACGCCGUAAACGAUGACUGCUAGGUGUCGGGGGGCAUGGCCCCUUCGUGCCGCAGCUAACGCAAUAAG
rnacentral:rRNA from 1 species